AUGGCAGAAGUAGCAUUAGCUAGUGCUGCCUUAAGAUUGGCCGCAUCGCCCCUCUUGAAGAAGCUCCUUGCUGAUGCUUCAACAUACCUUGGAGUGGACAUGGCGCGUGAACUCCAUCAACUGGAGACCACUAUCAUACCGCAGUUCGAGCUAGUGGUUGAAGCAGCCGACAAGGGAAAUCACAGGCCCAAGUUGGACAAAUGGCUUCAAGAACUCAAGGAUGCCUUCUAUAUGGCUGAAGACUUGCUAGACGAGCAUGAGCACAACCUCCUCAAGCGCAAAGCAGACGGGAAGGAUUCAAUGCUGCCUAAUGACUCUUCCAUUAGCAGCAUAUUUAUGAAGCCUCUACAUGCUGCAUCGAGCAGGAUGUCCAAUAUGAGAUCAGAUAACAGAAAUUUACUUCGCCAUCUCAAUGAACUUAAGGCUACCCUAGCGAAAGCUAAGGACUUUCACGAACUGCUGCGCUUACCAAUUGGUUAUAAUGCAGAGAACCCCACCAUACCAUCAUCCAUUGUUCAUGUGGCUACAUCACUGCCACCUCUGAAAGUGAUCGGUCGUGAUAAGGAUCGUGAUCAUAUAAUAAAUCAUCUUACCAAGACAACUGGUACUGCUGAGUCUAGGACUGCUAUGUACUCCGGAUUGGCCAUUGUUGGAGUUGGAGGCAUGGGAAAGUCCACUUUGGCACAACUUGUUUACAAUGACAAGCGGAUAAAAGAAUAUUUUGAUGUGACAAUGUGGGUAAGCAUCUCACGCAAACUUGAUGUUCACCGUCAUACACGGGAGAUCAUCGAGUCUGCUUCUCAAGGGGAGUGCCCACGCAUUGAUAACCUUGAUACACUUCAGCGUAGGUUGAAAGACUUACUGCAAGAAUCCGGGAAAUUCCUGCUUGUUUUGGAUGAUGUUUGGUUUGAACCUGACAGUGAAAGGGAAUGGGACCAACUAUUAGCUCCUCUAGUUUCCCAACAAACAGGAAGCAAAGUUUUGGUAACCUCUCGAAGGGAUACAUUUCCAGCUUCUCUUUGUUGUGCGGAAGUGUGUCCUCUGGAAAACAUGGAAGACGAUCAAUUCUUGGAACUCUUCAAACACCAUGCAUUUUUUGGACCAGAAAUUCAAAAUCCACGGUUGCGUGAAAAGCUAGAAAAAAUUUCAGAGAAGAUUGCUAAAAGGCUUGGACAAUCUCCUUUGGCGGCAAAAGUUGUGGGUUCCCAGUUGAAAGGGAAAACAAGUAUCACUGCUUGGAAGGAUGCUCUAACUAUAAAUAUUGACAAAUUAGGUGAGCCCAUUAGAGCUCUACUGUGGAGUUAUGAGAAGUUAGAUCCAUGUAUGCAGAGGUGCUUUCUAUAUUGCAGCUUGUUUCCAAAAGGCUACAAGUAUGGCAUUGAUGAGUUGGUUCAACUUUGGAUGGCAGCGGGACUUGUUGAUUCGUGCAACAAAAACAAGAGAGUGGAAGACAUUGGGAGAGAAUGCUUCAAGGAGAUGAUCUCGGUUUCAUUCUUUCAACCAGUACAUGACGAUUACACACCCAUGUACUGUGUUAUCCAUGAUCUCCUUCAUGAUCUGGCAGAAUCACUGUCCAAAGAGAACUAUUUCAGAUUGGAAGAUGAUAACAUAACAGAAAUACCAUCCACCAUCCGACACUUGUCUGUUAGCGUCGGUAGUUUGAAGGAACACAAGCAAAUUAUCUGCAAGCUUCGUCAUUUACGUAGUAUUAUCUGCAUAGCCCCCCUAACGGAUGAUGUAAGUUACCUUUUCAAUCAUAUACUGCAGAAUUUGAAGAAGUUGCGCGUACUAUAUUUGUCAUCUUAUAGCAGCAGUAUGUUGCCAGAAUCUGUUGGGAAGUUGAAGCACCUUCGGUAUUUAAACAUUGUCAGAACGUUGAUUUCUAAAUUGCCAAGAUCCCUAUGUACUCUUUACCACUUACAGUCACUUCUGUUAAAUGAUAAAGUUGAGAGUUUGCCUGAGAAACUCUGCGAUUUAAGGAAGUUACGACAUCUUGAACAACAUGAUUACAGAAUAUACACAUCAAACAAGAAAGCAUUGUGUCAAAUUCCUAACAUUGGCAAGCUAACUUCACUUCAACAAUUUGAGGAAUUUUCUGUGCAAAAGAAAAAAGGUUAUGAGUUAGAACAACUAAGGUAUAUGAAUGAGAUUCGUGGCAGUUUAAGUGUCACAAAUCUUGAGAAUGUCAGUACGAAGGAUCAAGCCCUAGAAUCGAAGUUGUAUCAGAAAAUUCAUCUUGGCAGCUUGCAACUUGUCUGGAGUCACAUGUAUAACACAAAUGAAGAGGAUAAUUUACAUUUGGAGAUUCUAGAAGGCUUGAUACCACCACCUCAACUUGAAGAUCUUACAAUUCAUGGUUACAAAUCUUCAAAAUACCCAAGUUGGUUACUUGAUGGUUCGUAUUUUGAGAAUUUGGAAUCUUUGAGCUUUGUUAAUUGCAGCACAUUACAAAGCCUACCAUCCAAUUCUGUUGAAAUACUGAAAUUAUACAAAUCCCCAUUGCUUAUAUUUAUAUCCAUUGAUGAGAUGGAACAUCAUGAUCAGAGAGAGAAUAUUAUGAUAGAGCACUUGGCAUCAAUGCUUGAUUUAAUUUGGAAGGUGCAUUCCAGAUCAGAUAUUACAAGUGUACUCUCAAAGGAACAAUCAUUUAUGAUGCAGUUGGUGAUAGUGAUGCAUGCUAAUGUGUCAAAUAUUCGGAACCUUAAAGGUGCUCUACAAAUAAAGGAUGACGAAAAAUUUAUAAAAAAUUAUCUUAUCGAUGCAUGGAUAGACAGUCACAAGCAAAGGAUCAGACUCAUGUAUGAAAGGGGCAUUGGGUUGUCGCUGGUUCCACCAAGAGGGCUUCGUGAACUGACUCUUUCAUCAUGCAAUAUUACAAAUGGAGCUUUAGCUGUUUGCCUUGAUGGCCUAGGAUCACUUAAAACAUUGGUCUUAGAGCAGAUUAUGACUUUAACUACACUUCCUUCAGAAGAGGUCCUCCAACACUUGACAAAACUUGACCGCUUGUUCAUCAAAUAUUGCUGGUGUCUCAGGUCAUUAGGGGGUUUACGAGCUGCUACCUCUCUUUCAGAUGUUAAAUUGAUUUCCUGCCCUUCUUUAGAGUUGGCAUGUGGAGCAGAAUGUUUGCCAUUAUCCCUUCAGAGCCUGAGUAUAGACAAGUGUGUGCUUGCAGCUGACUUCCUGUGCGCUAAUUGGCCACACAUGCAUGAUAUUGAAAUAAGAAAAUGUAGAAGCACCACAUGCUUGUCUGUUGGUAGUCUUACCUCUGUUAAAUCACUCUCACUGGAGCACUUGCCAGAUUUAUGUAUGCUCAAAGGAUUGUCUUCACUGGAACUUCACCAUGUACAAUUGAUUGAUGCUUGGAAACUCAACCUCAUGUGUAUCUCACAGUUUCGUGUCCAGUACUCAUUCGUAGUGAGCAGCACUACAAUACUCAACACCAUGCUUACGGCAGAAGGCUCCACGGUUCCAGCAUUUCUCUCUCUUGUAUCAUGCAAUGAACAAUUCGUUUCAUUCGAAGCAUCCGCAAAUUUCACAUUUGUCAAGAGGCUUACGUUCCGGGAUUGUCUAAUGUUUUCCCUGCCAUAUCUGAAGUGCUUCUCCAAUUUGGAGCAUCUAGAUAUCUAUGACUGCCCCAACAUAUCAUCUUUACCAGAUCUGCCAUCCUCCCUCCAGCUCAUAAGAAUACGUUCAUGUGGUGAGCACUUGAUGGAAAGCUGCCAAGCACCUCAUGGAGAAAGUUGGUCAAAGAUCGCGCAUAUUCGCUGGAAGCUAUUUGAAUAA
rnacentral:rRNA from 1 species